AAAGUGGAGCAAUCCAUGAGUACAGUGGCGUACGGGUGAGUAACACGUGGGUAAUCUACCUUUUAGUGAGGAAUAACCGAGGGAAACUUUGGCUAAUACCGCAUAAGCCUGAGAAGGGAAAGCAGAAAUGCGCUGAAAGAGGAGCCCGCGGCCGAUUAGCUAGUUGGUGGGGUAAGAGCCUACCAAGGCAGAGAUCGGUAGCCGGCCUGAGAGGGCACACGGCCACACUGGCACUGAAACACGGGCCAGACUCCUACGGGAGGCAGCAGUGGGGAAUCUUGCACAAUGGGGGAAACCCUGAUGCAGCGACGCCGCGUGAGCGAUGAAGCCCUUCGGGGUGUAAAGCUCUUUCGUCAGGGAAGAUAGUGACGGUACCUGGAGAAGCAGCUGCGGCUAACUACGUGCCAGCAGCCGCGGUAAUACGUAGGCAGCAAGCGUUGUUCGGAGUUACUGGGCGUAAAGGGUGUGUAGGCGGUUCUUUAAGUUUGCUGUGAAAUCUCCCGGCUUAACCGGGAGGGUGCGGUGAAUACUGAGGGACUAGAGUACGGGAGAGGAAAGUGGAAUUCCUGGUGUAGCGGUGAAAUGCGUAGAUAUCAGGAGGAACACCGGUGGGUGUAGACGGCUUUCUGGACCGUAACUGACGCUGAGACACGAAAGCGUGGGUAGCAAACAGGAUUAGAUACCCUGGUAGUCCACGCCCUAAACGAUGCAUAUUUGGUGUGGGCAGUUCAUUCUGUCCGUGCCGGAGCUAACGCGUUAAAUAUGCCGCCUGGGGAGUACAGUCGCAAGGCUGAAACUCAAAGGAAUUGAC
rnacentral:rRNA from 1 species